CCUACGGGAGGCAGCAGUGGGGAAUCAUUCACAAUGGGGGAAACCCUGAUGGUGCGACGCCGCGUGGGGGAAUGAAGGUCUUCGGAUUGUAAACCCCUGUCAUGUGGGAGCAAAUUAAAAAGAUAGUACCACAAGAGGAAGAGACGGCUAACUCUGUGCCAGCAGCCGCGGUAAUACAGAGGUCUCAAGCGUUGUUCGGAAUCACUGGGCGUAAGGCGUGCGUAUGCUGUUUCGUAAGUCGUGUGUGAAAGGCGCGGGCUCAACCCGCGGACGGCACAUGAUACUGCGAGACUAGAGUAAUGGAGGGGGAACCGGAAUUCUCGGUGUAGCAGUGAAAUGCGUAGAUAUCGAGAGGAACACUCGUGGCGAAGGCGGGUUCCUGGACAUUAACUGACGCUGAGGCACGAAGGCCAGGGGAGCGAAAGGGAUUAGAUACCCCUGUAGUC
rnacentral:rRNA from 1 species